rnacentral:rRNA from 1 species
ACGGGUGAGAAACGCGUGAGAAUUUACCCUUUAGUGAGGAAUACCCUCGAGAAAUCGAGGUUAAUACUGCAUACGUCCCUUCGGGGAGAAAGGUGGCCUCUUGCUGCCGCUAAAGGAUAAGCUUGCGUACUAUUAGCUAGUUGGUGAGGUAAAGGCUCACCAAGGCGAUGAUGGUUAGCCGGCCUGAGAGGGUGUACGGCCACACUGGAACUUAGACACGGUCCAGACUCCUACGGGAGGCAGCAGUGGGGAAUAUUGCGCAAUGGGCGAAAGCCUGACGCAGCGACGCCGCGUGGAGGAUGAAGGCCUUCGGGUCGUAAACUUCUGUUAAGUGGGAAGAAAUACCUAUCUCUAAUACAGAUAGGGGAUGACGGUACCAUUAGAGAAAGCACCGGCUAACUUCGUGCCAGCAGCCGCGGUAAUACGAAGGGUGCGAGCGUUAUUCGGAAUCAUUGGGCGUAAAGGGUGUGUAGAUGGUAUGCUAAGUCCGUUGUUAAAUGCUCCAGCCUAACUGGAGACCUGCGAUGGAAACUGGCGUGCUAGAGGGUGGAAGAGAGAAGUGGAAUUCUCGGA